GCAAGUCGAACGGAAACAUGUCUAGCUUGCUAGAUGAUGUCGAGUGGCGGACGGGUGAGUAAUACUUAGGAACAUGCCUUUGGGUGGGGGAUACUAUUGGAAACGAUAGCUAAUACCGCAUGAUGUCUACGGACCAAAGGGGGCGCUUGCGCUCCCGCCUAGAGAGUGGCCUAAGCGAGAUUAGCUUGUUGGUGAGGUAAAGGCUCACCAAGGCGACGAUCUCUAGCUGUUCUGAGAGGACGAUC
rnacentral:rRNA from 1 species